rnacentral:rRNA from 1 species
GGACUACAGGGGUUUCUAAUCCCGUUCGCUCCCCAUGCUUUCGUGGCUGAGCGUCAGGUACGAGCCAGGGGGCCGCCUUCGCCUCUGGGGUUCCUCCGGAUCUCUACGCAUUUCACCACUACACCCGGAAUUCCACCCCCCUCUCUCGUCCUCUAGAGAUGCAGUCUGGCAUAACCUAUCCCGGUUAAGCCGGGAGAUUUCAUACACCACUUACAUCCCCGCCUGCACACCCUUUACGCCCAGUAAUUCCGGAUAACGCUUGCCACCUACGUUUUACCGCGGCUGCUGGCAC